AUUGAACGCUGGCGGUAGGCUUAACACAUGCAAGUCGAGCGGAGAUGAGGUGCUUGCACCUUAUCUUAGCGGCGGACGGGUGAGUAAUGCUUAGGAAUCUGCCUAUUAGUGGGGGACAACAUUCCGAAAGGAAUGCUAAUACCGCAUACGCCCUACGGGGGAAAGCAGGGGAUCUUCGGACCUUGCGCUAAUAGAUGAGCCUAAGUCGGAUUAGCUAGUUGGUGGGGUAAAGGCCUACCAAGGCGACGAUCUGUAGCGGGUCUGAGAGGAUGAUCCGCCACACUGGGACGGAGACACGGCCCAGACUCCUACGGGAGGCAGCAGUGGGGAAUAUUGGACAAUGGGCGGAAGCCUGAUCCAGUCAUGCCGCGUGUGUGAAGAAGGCCUUUUGGUUGUAAAGCACUUUGAGCGAGGAGGAGGCUACCUGGAUUAAUACUCUAAGAUAGUGGACGUUACUCGCAGAAUAAGCACCGGCUAACUCUGUGCCAGCCGCCGCCGUAACAC
rnacentral:rRNA from 1 species